rnacentral:snRNA from 1 species
CCUAAGAUGAGCUCAACGAGAAC